rnacentral:rRNA from 1 species
CUUGGUCAUUUAGAGGAAGUAAAAGUCGUAACAAGGUCUCCGUUGGUGAACCAGCGGAGGGAUCAUUACUGGAAUCGCAAGAUCCCACAACCCUGUGAACCUACCGAAACGUUGCCUCGGCGGGUGCCCGGCCUCUGCGCCGGGCGCUGCGCCCGCCGGCGGCCCCCUACUCUGUCUCUGCAGCGUGGCAUCUCAGAGUCCCAGAAAACAAGUCAAAACUUUCAACAACGGAUCUCUUGGCUCUAGCAUCGAUGAAGAACGCAGCGAAAUGCGAUAAGUAAUGCGAAUUGCAGAAUUCAGUGAAUCAUCGAGCCUUUGAACGCACAUUGCGCCCGCCAGCAUCCUGGCGGGCAUGCCUGUUCGAGCGUCAUUACCACCCUCAGGCCCUGCCUGGUGUUGGGAGCCUGCGCCUGCAGCCCCCGAAAGACAGCGGCGGUCCCGGCCCCGGCCCCGAGCGUAGUACUAUACGUCGCUCCGGGCGCCGGGCGGGCCCCGGCCGAAAGCCACUAUUCUUCAGGUUGACCUCGGAUCAGGUAGGAAUACCCGCUGAACUUAAGCAUAUCAAUAAGCGGAGGA